rnacentral:rRNA from 1 species
CCUACGGGGGGCAGCAGUGAGGAAUAUUGGUCAAUGGACGAGAGUCUGAACCAGCCAAGUAGCGUGAAGGAUGACUGCCCUAUGGGUUGUAAACUUCUUUUAUAUGGGAAUAAAAUGUUCCACGUGUGGGAUUUUGUAUGUACCAUAUGAAUAAGGAUCGGCUAACUCCGUGCCAGCAGCCGCGGUAAUACGGAGGAUCCGAGCGUUAUCCGGAUUUAUUGGGUUUAAAGGGAGCGUAGGUGGAUUGUUAAGUCAGUUGUGAAAGUUUGCGGCUCAACCGUAAAAUUGCAGUUGAAACUGGCAGUCUUGAGUACAGUAGAGGUGGGCGGAAUUCGUGGUGUAGCGGUGAAAUGCUUAGAUAUCACGAAGAACUCCGAUUGCGAAGGCAGUUCACUGGACUGCAACCGACACUGAGGCUCGAAAGUGUGGGUAUCAAACAGGAUUAGAUACCCCUGUAGUC